GUGUACUAAAUUGCUAGCUUGUGUAUGUGUUAGCAGUUUAAGAAUAAUGAUUAUUUUAGUUAUUCCCUCUUAUUAAUGUGUAUAGCAUAGUUUCAAGUAUUUUGGCAGGAGGGAGGGUAUUAUAGUUUGGGGAAAGGAAAAAAGUAGAGAACAUGUUUUUAACCCUAAAGAUAUAUAUUAAGGAUAUAACGCACAAAGAUGUGGAAUAUCUUUGUGGUACAAUGUCACAAAGGAGUAAAUUAAAGAUACAUAGCCAUUGAGAAUCAUCUUUCUAUAUUUUUAUGUACUAAAUGAGAAGAUAAAACAAGUGGGCAAAUAAGACUAUAGCAAAAUAGAUUACAUAAGAAAGAUUACAAAGGUCAACAUUAUGCAAAACAAUGCAUCUUAUUAUUUAUUUACAGUUAUUUUUAUCAUACAUGAAGAAGGAUGCAGGAUGUCUGGAUAGGGGUUGAGGGAUUCAAAGAUGAGUAAGAUAAAGUUAUCUUAAAGAAUAUGUAAUUGAGAUGGAAAGAAAAGAUAAUCACCUAAAAUAAGGUAACUAGCAGUCUAGUAAUCUACAGUAAGGUCGAUUCCAAAAAUAAUAAACAUUUUGUGUUGUGAUGUCCUAUGAUUCGAUCUGUACUAAGGCAAAUAAUUAGUUUCAUUGAUCUUACUCUCUAAUUUGUUGAUUGAAUCAGUCAUAUGUUGUGAAUAAACCAUAGCUUAAACUUUAUACCUAAAUUCUGAAUGAUUUUAGGGGAAAUUGUAGAGGGGAAUUUUUAUUUAAGUUUCCUGUGGUGUUUGAAGUUUUCUGGAAAGAGCGGUAAAAGAUCCUGAAAAGAAAAUUUGAAAUAGAAUUCUAGAAACCAGGUUUUAAAAAUCACUGAUGAUAAUUUGUGUGGUCAAGAUAAGUCACUUCACCUUUCUGGAUUUUUAUUUUCUGGUUUGUGUAAUGAAGUGUUUGGAAGUUCUCUACAACAUUAAAUGCUUAUGUCUACAUUUCAGAAUUGUAAAUUUAAUGGUAGCAGUGAAGUGAUUUGCUUGGAGAAAAUAGGUUUCAUGGGUAUUAAGUGGAGGUGUGGUUGAAUAGCAAGGAGUAGGGGAUCUUGAAGGUAAGUGUGUGGCUUACGUUACUAAUGCCAAGUUCAUUUGAAGGUUUUCCUUUGAUUUGGUAGUCACUAAGAGAUCCAUGAAGCAAUCUACAGAUAUGGUGAGUGAAAAUUUGUGAAUAUCACCUUGGCAGUUAAAUAUAGUUUGACUUAAGGCAAAAAGACCAUCUAGGGGAGUCAGCAAGAUAAAUGCUUUGCUAUAUUAUUUAUUUUUAAUCUUGACAACCUCUCUGAGGUUGAUGUUAUUACCUGACAAUUGAGGGAACCUAGGGAUGGAGAAGAGAUUAUGUGAUUUGCCCACAGUCAGACAGCUACCAAGUGGUAGAACUGGGAUUUGAAUUCAUAUCUGUCUGAGUCCAGGAAUUAGGUGCUGAUCUCAAAACCAUUACCCCACCCCACCCCCAUACUGUUGCUUUUGUUUUAGGGGGUGAUGACAGAAGCCUGGGUUAGAGUAGUGGAAGUUGUGGGGAGAGGGAAGUGCUUUUCUUAUCCCCUUCUUAUUCAGCCUACUGUCUGCAUUCCUACAGAAUCAGCAUCACCUAGGAGUUAUUAGAAGUACUGAAUGUCUGUCCGCACCCAUAAGACCCGUAGGUAUUUGUUAAAGUUUGAGGAGCUCUGUUCUAGAGGCAUUUGUCAUACUGACCCUUGCAGCUGCAAAAAAGGUGAGCCCAACCAUGCAAUUACAUGCAAGGGGUACCCAAUGAGCAUUUGUGACCAGGCAUUGUGCUGGGCGACAUCUUGAAGUAGGUAAAAAAUACUCUCUGUGUCUACCUACCUCUACUUGUUUUUGUCUUGAAACCCUUGCACUGUGGCUUCUUAAGCUGUACAGAGCCCCUUUUCCAAGGCUGCUAUCUGUGGGUUGUUGUCCCAUUUUGGAACUUUUUUCUGGAGAUUCUUUCCUCUCAAACUCUGUUAGGUAAGGCUCUGAUAAAUUACUCCUAGGAAUAUUUGCAUGUUCAUAGGGGCAGUGCCUUUAACCCCAGGGAGUCCAAGCUCCACUUACAGAUCUUUAGGCAUCAGUACAGGCUAGGGGGUAAAGAUGUUAGUUAUUUCAGAGCACCAUCUCUCAUGAGAUUUAG
rnacentral:lncRNA from 1 species